rnacentral:rRNA from 1 species
CCCUUAGAUGUUCUGGGCCGCACGCGUGCUACACUGAGUGGAUCAGCGGGUCAGGUUGCGCGAAAGUGUUUCCUAAUCUUGAAAUCCGCUCGUGAUGGGGAUUGACGGUUGCAAUUUUCCGUCAUGAACGAGGAAUACCUUGUAAGCGCGGGUCAUCAUCCCGCGCUAAAUACGUCCCUGCCCUUUGUACACACCGCCCGUCGCUCCUACCGAUUGAGUGGUCCGGUGAGGCUUUGGGAUCUGAGCGGAAAGAGCGUUUCGCUGUUUCUGCUCGGAAAACUCAGUCGAACCUUAUCAUUUAGAGGAAGGAGAAGUCGUAACA